UACGUAGGGGGCAAGCGUUGUCCGGAUUUACUGGGCGUAAAGAGCGCGCAGGCGGUCGAUCAAGUCGAGUGUGAAAGCCCCCGGCUCAACCGGGGAGGGUCAUUCGAUACUGAUCGACUCGAAGGCAGGAGAGGGUAGUGGAAUUCCCGGUGUAGUGGUGAAAUGCGUAGAUAUCGGGAGGAACACCAGUGGCGAAGGCGACUACCUGGCCUGUUCUUGACGCUGAGGCGCGAAAGCUAGGGGAGCAAACGGG
rnacentral:rRNA from 1 species